AAUCAACGCUGGCGGCGUGCCUAACACAUGCAAGUCGAACGCGAAAGCCCCUUCGGGGGCAAGUAGAGUGGCGUCCGGGUGAGUAACACGUGGGUAAUCUACCUCCGGGUGGGGAAUAACUCGCCGAAAGGCGGGCUAAUACCGCAUGAGCUGGCAACAGGAAAGCGGGGGACCCGCAAGGGCCUUGUGCGAUUGGAGCGGCCGAUGUCCGAUUAGCUAGUUGGUGGGGUAAAGGCCUACCAAGGCUCGAUCGGUAGCUGGUCUGAGAGGAUGAUCAGCCACACUGGGACUGAGACACGGCCCAGACUCCUACGGGAGGCAGCAGUGGGGAAUUUUGGACAAUGGGGGCAACCCUGAUCCAACCAUGCCGCGUGAGUGAAGAAGGCCUUCGGUUGUAAGUA
rnacentral:rRNA from 1 species